UGACCAUGGAGUUCCCCACCGCUGA
rnacentral:misc_RNA from 1 species